GGCAUGGUGGCCAAGCGGUAAGGCAUUGGUCUUGUAAACCAAAGAUCAUGGGUUCAACCCCCCAUCCAUGCCU